CCGGGGCGACCCUGCCUUCGGGCGGGGGCUCCGGGUGGACACUUCAAACUCUUGCGUAACUUUGCAGUCUGAGUAAACUUAAUUAAUAAAUUAAAACUUUUAACAACGGAUCUCUUGGUUCUGGCAUCGAUGAAGAACGCAGCGAAAUGCGAUAAGUAAUGUGAAUUGCAGAAUUCAGUGAAUCAUCGAAUCUUUGAACGCACAUUGCGCCCCCUGGUAUUCCGGGGGGCAUGCCUGUUCGAGCGUCAUUUCACCACUCAAGCCUCGCUUGGUAUUGGGCAACGCGGUCCGCCGCGUGCCUCAAAUCGACCGGCUGGGUCUUCUGUCCCCUAAGCGUUGUGGAAACUAUUCGCUAAAGGGUGCUCGGGAGGCUACGCCGUAAAACAAACCCAUUUCUAAGGUUGACCUCGGAUCAGGUAGGGAUACCCGCUGAACUUAAGCAUAUCAAUAAGCGGAGGAA
rnacentral:rRNA from 1 species